CUGUUUUGGCCAGCAUUACUCCACCCAUCCCUUCAUCACAAUCGGAUAGUUGGAUUUAGAAAUAGUGGAAGCCCGCUGAGCCGAAAAGCAACAUUAUUGCACAAGGGGAAAGGGAGGGGAAAAAAAAAAGCCUGGGAGAGAAUGUUUGUUUGCUGUUCUCUCUAGAGCAAAACAUCCCAUCCCAGGUCUGCAGGAAGAGUACAGCUUCACUUGUAAUUACAUAUCUCUGGGACCUGGGCUAAUUUGCAUGGAUGACUUAAGUGGAAAAGUCAAGAUGUCACUAAGGUUGAUCAUAUACACAGCCAACUCUGGGACAUCAGGAGCACAGGGAGAUGGGGAGAUUGUUUUACCAUUUUUAAAAGGGUGGGGGAGGGAUAAGAAAAGCAUCCUGGAACACUAAAAUUCCAUCUAAACAAUUACCAUGUAAAUCACUGAAACCAAUCAUCAUGAAUACCUUUGUAAGUUAUGUCUUUAUUUCUCUUGAGCUGGAUUUUGUUUAAAUGGUUUUGAUGUUCAAGAACAAAAAGGAUUUUUUCUGCUGACAGUAUAGGAAUUUGGACCUGCAAGAUGUACUCG
rnacentral:lncRNA from 1 species